ensembl:lncRNA
AUGAUGACCCCUAAGGACAGGAAGUGAGGAUGGUAGGAUGACCCCUAAGGACAGGAAGUGAGGAUGGUAUGAUGACCCCUAAGGACAGGAAGUGAGGAUGUUAUGAUGACCCCUAAGGACAGGAAGUGAGGAUGUUAUGAUGACCCCUAAGGACAGGAAGUGAGGAUGAUAAGAUGACCCCUAAGGACAGGAAGUGAGGAUGGUAUGAUGACCCCUAAGGACAGGAAGUGAGGAUGGUAAGAUGACCCCUAAGGACAGGAAGUGAGGAUGGUAUGAUGACCCCUAAGGACAGGAAGUGAAGAUCGUAUGAUGACCCCUAAGGACAGGAAGUGAGGAUGGUAUGAUGACCCCUAAGGACAGGAAGUCAGGAUGGUAGGAUGACUCCUAAGGACAGGAAGUGAGGAUGGUAUGAUGACCCCUAAGGACAGGAAGUGAGGAUGUUAUGAUGACCCCUAAGGACAGGAAGUGAGGAUGUUAUGAUGACCCCUAAGGACAGGAAGUGAGGAUGAUAAGAUGACCCCUAAGGACAGGAAGUGAGGAUGGUAUGAUGACCCCUAAGGACAGGAAGUGAAGAUGGUAUGAUGACCCCUAAGGACAGGAAGUGAGGAUGUUAUGAUGACCCCUAAGGACAGGAAGUGAGGAUGAUAAGAUGACCCCUAAGGACAGGAAGUGAGGAUGGUAUGAUGACCCCUAAGGACAGGAAGUGAAGAUGGUAUGAUGACCCCUAAGGACAGGAAGUGAAGAUGGUAUGAUGAUCCCUAAGGACAGGAAGUGAGGGAUGAAAAAGAGGAGAGGAUUCCCUGAUGUAUGUAGGUGUGUGUGAUCCCAACUCCAAAGUGUGUGUGUGAUCCCAACUCCAAAGUGUGUGUGAUCCCAACUCCAAAGUGCGUGUGUGUGUGUGUGUGUGUUAGACUGGGCCGCCAGACUAAUCAUGAAUAGAAACUAUAGCGACGGGAUAGACUGGGCCGCCAGACUAAUCUCAUUCUAUUGUGAUCUUGGGUGAUCUAGUCCAAUACGAUAUGCUUCUAUUGCUCUCCAAAAUAUUUUACUGUUGUUUGUUGACUGCUGUUUGUUGACUGUUGUUUGUUGACCUCUGUUUGUUUACUGUUGUUUGUUGACUGCUGUUUGUUGACUGCUGUUUGUUGACAAUUAUUUGUUGACUGCUGUUUGUUGACUGCUGUUUGUUUACUGCUGUUUGUUUACUGCUGUUUGUUUUCUGUUGUUUGUUUACUGCUGUUUGUUUUCUGUUGUUUGUUUACUGCUGUUUGUUUACUGCUGUUUGUUUACAUCAAUGAUCUUGUUUUGUAGUAUCCCCCUCAGAACAGCGUAAGACAGACAACAACAUAGAUAUGGAGGUAAUCGAUCACCUGAAUCAGAAAACCAAGAUAUGAUUUGUAUCGGGUGUAGCAGAAUAAUACCCCAAUAGCUAGAUUUUAACAUGGCAACGUGCAUGUACUCUACCCAGCCUGCCCUGCUAUCGGGGGGGGCAGUUACUUGGAACAGCUACUAGGAAGAGUGGGAGGAGGGACCUCUGCAUGCACACUGUUGCACAAACUGUAAAUAUGCCUUCAGCAGUAGUCGUUAUGACAUAGUGUUCUGUACACGUACUGUAGCUAGCAGAGAGAUCCACUGCAACCUAAAGACUGGACAUUGUUUCAAUUGGAAUGAAUUGAGGUGAUCGUACGGUGUUUUAUGUUAGUCACAUCCUCCUAUUCAGACCAGGUCAUAUCCUCCUAUUCAGACCAGGUCAUAUCCUCCUAUUCAGACUAGGUCACAUCCUCCUCCUCCUAUUCAGAACAGGUCAUAUCCUCCUGUUCAGACUAGGUCACAUCCUCCUAUUCAGACCAGGUCACAUCCUCCUAUUCAGACCAGGUCACAUCCUCCUAUUCAGACCAGGUCACAUCAUCCUAUUCAGACCAGGUCACAUCAUCCUAUUCAGACCAGGUCACAUCCUCCUAUUAAGACCAGGUCACAUCCUCCUAUUCAGACCAGGUCAUAUCCUCGGUUUAUUCAGUUUUUUAACCAUUCAAUUAUACUUAUUUAUUCUUGUCACAAUGAAAAGGAAUCUGUUUUCACUAGAAAGUGUUUAUUUUGAAAAAUGUCAUUAUUUUGGCAGCAGGUAGGUAAUGCAUUAUUAUUAUUAAUGUGUGUAUGUGUGUGUGUGUGUUUGUGUGCUGUAUGUAUGAUGGAUAUCUGCAUUAUAUACCCAACCCUGUUCCUCCAUCCAUUCCCUGUCUUCUGCUGUGUCCUGAAUACACCUCACACACACACACACACACAGAUGAACAUAAAAAGAUGAAUCAUUCAACAGCCUGCAGUCUAACAGCAUGCCUGUGUGUCUGACUGCCACACACUAUAUCAUAUAGCAUAUAUUCCAAUAUUAACUCACUUUCUUUAUAUUAUCCACACAAUGAGUUACUGUAGUAGAAAGGUGAAUAUAUUUUAGAAAUGGUACAAUUCAGUCACAUCCUAAAUUCAUAUUUAGUUUUUUUUGUUGCCAUCAAAUAUUUCACUAAUGCCCAGAUGUCUUUCAAGUAUUCGUGCACACAUGUUUACAGCUGUUAACGAGAGUUAUUCAGGGUACAUUGUUAUUGUUGUUUGUGAGGGUUCUAGAACAUGUUUACAGCUGUUAAUGAGAGUUCUUCAGGGUACAUUGUUAUUGUUGUUUGUGAGGGUUCUAGAACAUGUUUACAGCUGUUAACGAGAGUUAUUCAGGGUACAUUGUUAUUGUUGUCUGUGAGGGUUCUAGAACAUGUUUACAGCUGUUAAUGAGAGUUCUUCAGGGUACAUUGUUAUUGUUGUUUGUGAGGGUUCUAGAACAUGUUUACAGCUGUUAACGAGAGUUAUUCAGGGUACAUUGUUAUUGUUGUAUGUGAGGGUUCUAGAACAUGUUUACAGCUGUUAAUGAGAGUUCUACAGGGUACAUUGUUAUUGUUGUCUGUGAGGGUUCUGGAACAUGUUUACAGCUGUUAAUGAGAGUUCUACAGGGUACAUUGUUAUUGUUGUCUGUGAGGGUUCUAGAACAUGUUUACAGCUGUUAACGAGAGUUCUUCAGGGUACAUUGUUAUUGUUGUCUGUGAGGGUUCUAGAACAUGUUUACAGCUGUUAACGAGAGUUCUACAGGGUACAUUGUUAUUGUUGUCUGUGAGGGUUCUAGAACAUGUUUACAGCUGUUAACGAGAGUUCUUCAGGGUACAUUGUUAUUGUUGUUUGUGAGGGUUCUAGAACAUGUUUACAGCUGUUAACGAGAGUUAUUCAGGGUACAUUGUUAUUGUUGUUUGUGAGGGUUCUAGAACAUGUUUACAGCUGUUAACGAGAGUUCUUCAGGGUACAUUGUUAUUGUUGUCUGUGAGGGUUCUAGAACAUGUUUACAGCUGUUAACGAGAGUUCUUCAGGGUACAUUGUUAUUGUUGUCUGUGAGGGUUCUAGAACAUGUUUACAGCUGUUAACGAGAGUUCUUCAGGGUACAUUGUUAUUGUUGUCUGUGAGGGUUCUGGAACAUGUUUACAGCUGUUAAUGAGAGUUCUACAGGGUACAUUGUUAUUGUUGUCUGUGAGGGUUCUAGAACAUGUUUACAACGAGAGUUCUACAGGGUACAUUGUUAUUGUUGUCUGUGAGGGUUCUAGAACAUGUUUACAGCUGUUAACGAGAGUUCUACAGGGUACAUUGUUAUUGUUGUUCUGUGAGGGUUCUAGAACAUGUUUACAGCUGUUAACGAGAGUUCUACAGGGUACAUUGUUAUUGUUGUCUGUGAGGGUUCUAGAACAUGUUUACAGCUGUUAACGAGAGUUCUACAGGGUACAUUGUUAUUGUUGUUUGUGAGGGUUCUAGAACAUGUUUACAGCUGUUAACAGGAGUUCUACAGGGUACAUUGUUAUUGUUGUCUGUGAGGGUUCUAGAACAUGUUUACAGCUGUUAACGAGAGUUCUUCAGGGUACAUUGUUAUUGUUGUUUGUGAGGGUUCUAGAACAUGUUUACAGCUGUUAACGAGAGUUCUACAGGGUACAUUGUUAUUGUUCUAUGUGAGGGUUCUAGAACAUGUUUACAGCUGUUAAUGAGAGUUCUACAGGGUACAUUGUUAUUGUUGUCUGUGAGGGUUCUGGAACAUGUUUACAGCUGUUAAUGAGAGUUCUACAGGGUACAUUGUUAUUGUUGUCUGUGAGGGUUCUAGAACAUGUUUACAGCUGUUAACGAGAGUUCUUCAGGGUACAUUGUUAUUGUUGUUUGUGAGGGUUCUAGAACAUGUUU